GAUGAACGCUGGCGGCGUGCCUAAUACAUGCAAGUCGAGCGAACGGACGAGAAGCUUGCUUCUCUGAUGUUAGCGGCGGACGGGUGAGUAACACGUGGAUAACCUACCUAUAAGACUGGGAUAACUUCGGGAAACCGGAGCUAAUACCGGAUGAUAUUUUGAACCGCAUGGUUCAAAAGUGAAAGACGGUCUUGCUGUCACUUAUAGAUGGAUCCGCGCUGCAUUAGCUAGUUGGUAAGGUAACGGCUUACCAAGGCAACGAUGCAUAGCCGACCUGAGAGGGUGAUCGGCCACACUGGAACUGAGACACGGUCCAGACUCCUACGGGAGGCAGCAGUAGGGAAUCUUCCGCAAUGGGCGAAAGCCUGACGGAGCAACGCCGCGUGAGUGAUGAAGGUCUUCGGAUCGUAAAACUCUGUUAUGAGGGAAGAACAUAUGUGUAAGUAACUGUGCACAUCUUGACGGUACCUAAGCAGAAAGCCACGGCUAACUACGU
rnacentral:rRNA from 1 species